AUUGAACGCUGGCGGCAGGCCUAACACAUGCAAGUCGAGCGGAUGAGAGGAGCUUGCUCCUUGAUUCAGCGGCGGUCGGGUGAGUAAUGCCUAGGAAUCUGCCUGGUAGUGGGGGACAACGUUUCGAAAGGAACGCUAAUACCGCAUACGUCCUACGGGAGAAAGCAGGGGACCUUCGGGCCUUGCGCUAUCAGAUGAGCCUAGGUCGGAUUAGCUAGUAGGUGGGGUAAUGGCCCACCUAGGCGACGAUCCGUAACUGGUCUGAGAGGAUGAUCAGUCACACUGGAACUGAGACACGGUCCAGACUCCUACGGGAGGCAGCAGUGGGGAAUAUUGGACAAUGGGCGAAAGCCUGAUCCAGCCAUGCCGCGUGUGUGAAGAAGGUCUUCGGAUUGUAAAGCACUUUAAGUUGGGAGGAAGGGCAGUAAGUUAAUACCUUGCUGUUUUGACGUUACCGACAGAAUAAGCACCGGCUACCUUCGUGCCAGCCGCCGCAGUAA
rnacentral:rRNA from 1 species